GUGAGGAAUAUUGCGCAAUGGAGGCAACUCUGACGCAGCCAUGCCGCGUGCAGGAAGAAGGCGCUACGCGUUGUAAACUGCUUUUAACCGGGAAGAAACCCCAGGACGUGUCCUGGGUUGACGGUACCGGAGGAAUAAGCCCCGGCUAACUUCGUGCCAGCAGCCGCGGUAAUACGAAGGGUGCAAGCGUUAUCCGGAUUCAUUGGGUUUAAAGGGUGCGUAGGCGGAGCGUUAAGUCAGUGGUGAAAUCCUGCAGCUUAACUGUAGACUUGCCAUUGAUACUGGCGCUCUUGAGUGCGCUUGAAGUGGGCGGAAUGUGCCGUGUAGCGGUGAAAUGCUUAGAUAUGGCACAGAACACCAAUUGCGAAGGCAGCUCACUAAGGCGAUACUGACGCUGAGGCACGAAAGCGUGGGGAUCGAACAGGAUUAGAAACCCGGGUAGUCC
rnacentral:rRNA from 1 species